rnacentral:tRNA from 1 species
UCUGGUUUAACAUAUACUAUAAUGUGAAAGAUUGUAAAUCUUUUUAAAGCAGUGAAGCUU